rnacentral:rRNA from 1 species
UACGUAGGAUGCUAGCGUUGUCCGGAUUUACUGGGCGUAAAGCGCGCGCAGGCGGCACUGUAAGUAAGGUGUGAAAUCUCCCGGCUCAACUGGGAGGGUGCGCCGAAUACUGAGGGACUAGAGUACGGGAGAGGAAAGUGGAAUUCCUGGUGUAGCGGUGAAAUGCGUAGAUAUCAGGAGGAACACCGGUGGUGUAGACGGCUUUCUGGACCGACACUGACGCUGAGACACGAAAGCGUGGGUAGCAAACAGG